CAUUAUCGAAUUCACUUUGAACGUUGGGUUGUAGCUGGCCCCUCACCGGGCAUGUGCACGCCUCGUUCAAUUUUAUUUUAAACCCCUGUGCACAACCUGUAGGUCGGUCUGAGGUCUCGCGGCUUCUGCCUUCCUAUGUAUAUUAUAAACACCAAGUAAGGUCUAAAGAAUGUCUGUCGCGUUUUACACGCAUAUAUAUAUAUAUAACUUUCAGCAACGGAUCUCUUGGCUCUCGCAUCGAUGAAGAACGCAGCGAAAUGCGAUAAGUAAUGUGAAUUGCAGAAUUCAGUGAAUCAUCGAAUCUUUGAACGCACCUUGCGCUCCUUGGUAUUCCGAGGAGCAUGCCUGUUUGAGUGUCAUGGAAUUCUCAACCCCAUCCACCUUUGCCGGUGAAUGCGGGCUUGGACUUGGAGGUUUCUGUCGGACGUUCACGUUCGACUCCUCUUGAAUGCAUUAGCUCGAAACCUUUGUGUGAUCGGCUCAUCCGGUGUGAUAGUAUUGUCUGCGCCGGGGGCUCCACGCUUUAAUAGUGAGGAUUCAAGCUUCCAACGGUCCCUUCGAGGGACAUUUACAUUGAC
rnacentral:rRNA from 1 species